rnacentral:rRNA from 1 species
GACGUAGGGCGCGAGCGUUGUCCGGAUUUAUUGGGCGUAAAGAGCUCGUAGGCGGCUUGUUGCGUCAGCUGUGAAAACCCGCAGCUCAACUGUGGGCUUGCAGCUGAUACGGGCAGGCUUGAGUUCGGUAGGGGAGACUGGAAUUCCUGGUGUAGCGGUGAAAUGCGCAGAUAUCAGGAGGAACACCGGUGGCGAAGGCGGAUCUCUGGGCCGAUACUGACGCUGAGGAGCGAAAGCGUGGGGAGCGAACAGG